rnacentral:ribozyme from 11 species
UAACAAAAACACACACAAAAUGGACAUGACAAAAAAAAAACAUAACACAAACAAUUGCGAAAUAAACAUCGUCGUCCGUGUCCCCGGUUUGCUUCAUUCAUUCAUCUCUCCCUCUCUCUCUCU